GACGAACGCUGGCGGCGUGCCUAACACAUGCAAGUCGAGCGAAUGAAGUUCCUUCGGGAACGGAUUUAGCGGCGGACGGGUGAGUAACACGUGGGCAACCUGCCUCAUAGAGGGGAAUAGCCUUCCGAAAGGGAGAUUAAUACCGCAUAAGAUUGUAGUACCGCAUGGUACAGCAAUUAAAGGAGCAAUCCGCUAUGAGAUGGGCCCGCGGCGCAUUAGCUAGUUGGUGAGGUAACGGCUCACCAAGGCGACGAUGCGUAGCCGACCUGAGAGGGUGAUCGGCCACAUUGGGACUGAGACACGGCCCAGACUCCUACGGGAGGCAGCAGUGGGGAAUAUUGCACAACGGGGGAAACCCUGAUGCAGCAACGCCGCGUGAGUGAUGACGGCCUUCGGGUUGUAAAGCUCUGUCUUCAGGGACGAUAAUGACGGUACCUGAUGAGCAAGUCCCGGCUAACUACGUGCCAGCCGCCGCCGUAACAC
rnacentral:rRNA from 1 species